CCAGUGUACAGCAGUGUGCAUACAGAAACUGCUCCAAAAGUAAUAGUUUAUGGAAAAACCAACUGACGCUGCAAAAAGUUCUUUCUUUUGUUCUAGGUAGAAGAAAAUCCAGCGGUCUCCAGUGAUCUUUAGACAUCUUCCCACAUAUGGCAGAUUUUCUGGGAAGGCACUUAGUAAAAAGUGGCAACAGGCUCAGGGAUGCAAGGAGAACUUUCUUCAUAGCCUUAUCCAGGAGGUCAAACCACAGGAGGACAUCUCCUGAAAUUAUCAAGAUGCUGAUGGUGGCUGAUUGGAUGUUUGGUUUCUCAUUGUGAGCUGGCUCAUCUUGCCCUCCAGACUUGCCUGAAAACUCCUUAUUGGAUGUUGAGCCCUGAACGAAUUCCUGUCUGCUGCCACGUGCUGAGUCACGGUUCGUGUGACUCCUCACUGACUCCUGGCUGCCUGCUAGGCAGAUGGGCCUGCCGGGACUGAGAGGAAGCAGCGGCCAGCCAGACACCCACACCUCCAGGCAGAGUCACUUCUGAGAUGCCGUCUUCCGUCCUCGGGGUGAAAACGAGUCAUCGGCCAGCUGGGUGGGGAGAGAGGAGUGGGGUGGGGGUCGGCUGACAUCAUGCCUGAUCUUUCCUGCCGGGUUUGAGGGAAGGUCAUGCUUAAGCUUGACUUUUGAGGGAAAAGGAGGUGAUGUCAUCGAUGAGCUUUCUCUGCUUGAGCUUCAGGGGAUGGAGUCACUUCCAGACAGGAAUCUGGGCCUGGAGCAAGAACAGACAGGACACCAGCAGCUCCCUGCCCUCACUUUGCCUGACUGAGAUGCUCUGCUGGAAUUGGGCUACAAGACUGCACAGAAUGCAGCCUGUCUUCUUAUACAGACAGGGCACUGAGCAGAAGCAGAGUGGUCCAUCAGACAACAGCCUUGCUUAAGAGGACUGACUUCUGGUGAACGGCCCUUACAGUGAGUAACUAAUUCAUCCAAGAGCGGAUAUUAGUCAUUUCCUCAGGCAAAGGUAAACAUCAAUGGGGGCAGGGUUUGGAAAUUCAUGCCAAGUGGUCAGUGUUGAGGAAGCCAUAUAAGGUAAGAGUGAUCACAUACAUUAUUCACGUUUAUUCAUUCAACAAAUACUUAUUGAACAUCAACUAUGUGCUAAGCACCAGAUUUAGGGGGAUGCAAGUU
rnacentral:lncRNA from 1 species